AUGGGUGAAGCCAAUGUUUACAUGAGUGAGGACCAUUUAUUCAAAAAUCUUCAAAACGUCAAAAAAUAAGCGGCAUGCAGGCUAGCGUGUUUACAUUGAAGAUUAUAUUUCGAUUCCAGCGAACUCAUGAAAUUUGAUACCAAAAAACGUUGGCGUAUGAUAUAUGAUCCCUCAAGUCUUUUUCAAACACGAACAAACCUCACACUCAGUGUUUAUCUUUGCAGUAUAAAGCGAGUACAAGCCACAACGUAUUUUACAAUGAAGUUCUAUAAUGUUUCACAACUUACAGUCAUUGUACUUUUCAUCUUGCUGAAUUUUGUUUCAUUUUCUGCAGGUAUGUCUCUGAUGUUUUAAUGCUUUAAUGUUCCUUUCCCAGUAAAAGCGGGAUUUAUUCCCACAAGUCGGAUAUUAUAUCCUAAAAGUUGUAAAAUAUCCCUUUUUGCUUAGCCUAUAUAGACGACUUGCAGUACAAUCUUUUUUGUUUUAAUCCUCUGUGAUAAUUCUUUGUUUAAUAUCGCAAGUCAUUCACUAUUUUAUAUUGCGUUAUUUAUCGGUUUGUUUCAUUCGUUGCUAUGGGAC